rnacentral:rRNA from 1 species
AGGACGAACGCUGGCGGCGUGCUUAACACAUGCAAGUCGAGCGGAAAGGCCCUUCGGGGUACUCGAGCGGCGAACGGGUGAGUAACACGUGAGCAACCUGCCCCUGGCUCUGGGAUAGCCUCCGGAAACGGGGAUUAAUACCGGACAUGACCUGCUGCCGCAUGGUGGCGGGUGGAAAGUUUUUCGGCCAGGGUGGGGCUCGCGGCCUAUCAGCUUGUUGGGGGGGUGACGGCCCACCAAGGCGACGACGGGUAGCCGGCCUGAGAGGGCGACCGGCCACACUGGGACUGAGACACGGCCCAGACUCCUACGGGAGGCAGCAGUGGGGAAUAUUGCGCAAUGGGCGGAAGCCUGACGCAGCGACGCCGCGUGCGGGAUGAAGGCCUUCGGGUUGUAAACCGCUUUCACCAGGGGCGAAGCGAGAGUGACGGUACCGUGGGGAAGAAGCGCCGGCUAACUACGCGCCAGCAGCCGC